GUCGAACGAGAGAAGAGGAGCUUGCUUUUCUGAUCUAGUGGCGGACGGUUGAGUAACACGUGAGCAAUCUGCCCUUCAGAGGGGGAUACCGAUUGGAAACGAUCGUUAAUACCGCAUAACAUAAUUGAACCGCAUGAUUUGAUUAUCAAAGAUUUAUCGCUGAAAGAUGAGCUCGCGUCUGAUUAGCUAGUUGGUAAGGUAACGGCUUACCAAGGCGACGAUCAGUAGCCGGACUGAGAGGUUGAUCGGCCACAUUGGGACUGAGACACGGCCCAGACUCCUACGGGAGGCAGCAGUGGGGAAUAUUGCACAAUGGAGGAAACUCUGAUGCAGCGAUGCCGCGUGAGGGAAGAAGGUUUUAGGAUUGUAAACCUCUGUCUUCAGGGACGAAAAAAGACGGUACCUGAGGAGGAAGCUCCGGCUAACUACGUGCCAGCAGCCGCGGUAAUACGUAGGGAGCGAGCGUUGUCCGGAAUUACUGGGUGUAAAGGGAGCGUAGGCGGGAUCGCAAGUCAGAUGUGAAAACUAUGGGCUUAACCCAUAAACUGCAUUUGAAACUGUGGUUCUUGAGUGAAGUAGAGGUAAGCGGAAUUCCUAGUGUAGCGGUGAAAUGCGUAGAUAUUAGGAGGAACAUCAGUGGCGAAGGCGGCUUACUGGGCUUUAACUGACGCUGAGGCUCGAAAGCGUGGGGAGCAAACAGGAUUAGAUACCCUGGUAGUCCACGCCGUAAACGAUGAUUACUAGGUGUGGGGGGACUGACCCCUUCCGUGCCGCAGCAAACGCAAUAAGUAAUCCACCUGGGGAGUACGACCGCAAGGUUGAAACUCAAAGGAAUUGACGGGGGCCCGCACAAGCAGU
rnacentral:rRNA from 1 species